UACAGAGGGUGCAAGCGUUAAUCGGAAUUACUGGGCGUAAAGCGUGCGCAGACGGUUGCGUAAGUCAGAUGUGAAGCCCCGGGCUCAACCUGGGAAUUGCAUUGAGACUGCGUAGCUAGGGUGCGGAAGAGGGAAGCGGAAUUUCCGGUGUAGCGGUGAAAUGCGUAGAUAUCGGAAGGAACACCAGUGGCGAAAAGCGGCUUCCUGGUCCAGCACCGACGUCAGGCACGAAAGCGUGGGGAGCAAACGG
rnacentral:rRNA from 1 species